AUUGAACGCUGGCGGAAUGCUUUACACAUGCAAGUCGAACGGCAGCACGGACUUCGGUCUGGUGGCGAGUGGCGAACGGGUGAGUAAUGUAUCGGAACGUGCCCAGUCGUGGGGGAUAACGUAGUGAAAAUUACGCUAAUACCGCAUACGAUCUAUGGAUGAAAGCGGGGGAUCGCAAGACCUCGCGCGAUUGGAGCGGCCGAUAUCAGAGUAGGUAGUUGGUGGGGUAAAGGCCCACCAAGCCAACGAUCUGUAGCUGGUCUGAGAGGACGACCAGCCACACUGGAACUGGGAGACGUUCCAGACUCCUACGGGAGGCAGCAGUGGGUAAUUUUGGACAAUGGGCGAAAGCCUGAUCCAGCCAUUCCGCGUGCAGGAUGAAGGCCCUCGGGUUGUAAACUGCUUUUGUACAGAACGAAAAGGUUUCUACUAAUACUAGGAGCUCAUGACGGUACUGUAAGAAUAAGCACCGGCUAACUACGUGCCAGCCGCCGCGGUAA
rnacentral:rRNA from 1 species